rnacentral:rRNA from 1 species
GAUGAACGCUAGCUACAGGCUUAACACAUGCAAGUCGAGGGGAAACGAUAUUGGAAGCUUGCUUCCGAUAGGCGUCGACCGGCGCACGGGUGAGUAACGCGUAUCCAACCUGCCCACCACUUGGGGAUAACCUUGCGAAAGUAAGACUAAUACCCAAUGAUAUCUCAAGAAGACAUCUGAAUGAGAUUAAAGAUUUAUCGGUGAUGGAUGGGGAUGCGUCUGAUUAGCUUGUUGGCGGGGUAACGGCCCACCAAGGCGACGAUCAGUGGGGGUUCUGAGAGGAAGGUCCCCCACAUUGGAACUGAGACACGGUCCAAACUCCUACGGGAGGCAGCAGUGAGGAAUAUUGGUCAAUGGGCGAGAGCCUGAACCAGCCAAGUAGCGUGCAGGAUGACGGCCCUAUGGGUUGUAAACUGCUUUUAUAAGGGAAUAAAGUGAGCCUCGUGAGGCUUUUUGCAUGUACCUUAUGAAUAAGGACCGGCUAAUUCCGUGCCAGCAGCCGCGGUAA